rnacentral:rRNA from 1 species
AGCAUCGGAACGUACCCAGUAGUGGGGGAUAGGCCCGGCGAAAGCCGGAUUAAUACCGCAUACGACCUGAGGGUGAAAGCGGGGGACCGCAAGGCCUCGCGCUAUUGGAGCGGCCGAUGUCAGAUUAGGUAGUUGGUGGGGUAAAGGCCUACCAAGCCUGCGAUCUGUAGCUGGUCUGAGAGGGCGACCAGCCACACUGGGACUGAGACACGGCCCAG